UACAGAGGUCUCAAGCGUUGUUCGGAUUCAUUGGGCGUAAAGGGUGCGUAGGCGGCGCGGUAAGUCGGGUGUGAAAACUCGAGGCUCAACCUCGAGCCUGCAUUCGAUACUGGGCGGCUAGAGUCUGGUAGGGGGAUCUGGAAUUCCUGGUGUAGCGGUGGAAUGCGCAGAUAUCAGGAGGAACACCGGUGGCGAAGGCGGGAUCCUGGGCCAGUACUGACGCUGAGGAGCGAAAGCGUGGGGAGCAAACAGG
rnacentral:rRNA from 1 species